rnacentral:misc_RNA from 1 species
GAUGAAGAACGUAGCGAAAUGCGAUAAGUAAUGUGAAUUGCAGAAUUCAGUGAUUCAUCGAAUCUUUGAACGCACAUUGCGCCCCUUGGUAUUCCGAGGGGCAUGCCUGUUCGAGCGUCAUUAUAACCCCUCAAGCUCAGCUUGGUGUUGGGGCCUGCUGCACUGGCAGCCCUUAAAAUCAGUGGCGGCGCCAUCUGGCUCUAAGCGUAGUAAUUCUUCUCGCUAUGGAGUCCUGGUGGAUGCUUGCCAUCAACCCCCAAUUUUUCUAUGGUUGACCUCGGAUCAGGUAGGGAUACCCGCUGAACUUAAGCAUAUCAAUAAGCGGAGGA